rnacentral:tRNA from 1 species
UCCCUGGUGGUCCAGCGGCUGAGACUCUGCACUCUCGAUGCAGGGGCCCCAGGUUAGAUUCCUAGUCAGGGAA